rnacentral:lncRNA from 1 species
AAAGACAAGGCGAACAUAUUUCCAAUCUUCCAAAAUUCAAAUCUUAGUGUAUUUAAGUUAUAUAUAUGCCACAUUUCUUUAAUUUCACACAAUACUGGUAUAUUUAAAUGAUGUUUUUAGGUAAUUUAUUCUGAACUAUGUUUUCAUGUUUAAAACGUGUUACAAAAAAUGUCAUUUUAUACAAAUAAUGUAAAUUUUAAAUACACUUUUUGCAUUAUGAUUCCAUAUUGGUUAUUGGCUAUACAUAUGAUACAACUAAGUUUAUUUAUUAUAUGGGUUUUAUUUGGAUUAAUAUAAUCAUCAGAAAAUCAAACAUUGAGAUAAAUAAACUCAUUGCUAUUGUUUUAAUCGCUUUUACUGCUAUUCUAAGGUUUUUUAUUUACCACAAGAAGAUUUCCUUUCAAGUAAAAGCAAAUCUUUAUCAGCUUAAAUAGGUAAGUCAUAGAAGUGAAUCAUAACAUUAUUUAAUUAUUAUUAUGCAACUUCGAAUUUGGGUUUUCUGUAUUGAGGUGCACACUAUUGUACUUGUAUUAAACAUCAUUCUAAUUUCAGUGCUAACUUCUACAGUACCCAAUAAUUUAAGAAAAAGAAAACUUCAUCUUAUCUCUUUGCGUAGUAUUUCAAAAUCAUUUUAUUAUUAUUAUUUUUAAAAAUUUCUACGUGGGGAGUUACAAAUAAAGACCAGUUAAAAUUUUGAAUGAGUCGUUACAAAUUCGUAAUGAAACUACAUUUAAUGUGCAAAAACUAAAGAAAAAAUAAAUUUGAAAAACAGAAGAAAUAUUAUCAAUUAAAUUUACAACACAAUAAUCAAGUUCAUUGUUAGACAAACGCUUUGUAACUUUUUAUGUUUUUUUAACUGUGGAUUGUAAAGUCUUUGGUUAGAAAAGCCCAUAAAUAUAAAUCAUUCUUCAUAAUGUGGCAACUAGAAUUUGGAAGAAAUUUUUAUGGAGAAAAAUACUUAAAAGCAAAAAACUAUAGACUCAAUUUAAAAGAUAAAAACUCUAUUGCUUGGAUUUUUUCAUGUUAAUCAAAUUUGAUAAAAAUUAAUUGGAUAUAAUAUACAAUAAAAAAUCUAAAAUCCUAUUUUAAGUCUGAAAAUAUUUUUUGCAAUCUUAGUAAAAUUUUGAGCUAAGAAUGUAGAAGACAAAAUGAAAGUAACACGAACAAAACAAUUUAGCUCCAAUGAAUAUCAAAUAUGUAUUUAAAAAAUUUGAAAGUAUUUGAUUUUUUUGAAGGUUGCCUAAAGCUUUCAACUUUUCUUUUAAGUUAUAAAGCCCAUGUUGCUUCAAUCCUUUUGGUGGACAUAUAUAUAUAUAUAUAUAUAUAUAUAUAUGCACAAUUAAGACUUUUGAAAGCAAAAUUUACACUGUUGGGUUUUAUUAACAUUCGAACUUUUUUGGAUCUAUUAAUAAUUUUCACUGGAGGUGUUUUUGAUUAACAUGAAUGACUUUGAGUUAAACAUUGAAAUCAAAAUAAUUGCUCCUGAAAAUAAGGUCAUGAUAUCAUUCCAAAAGAUAUAAAUUAUUCCUGUUCAGUUGUGGUGCAAAGAGAAAUUGGCUUUAGUUUUAAAUUAAAAUUAAAAUAUUAAAUAUUAAAUUUUUAUAAAGGAACUUGGAUUAUUUUAUUUUGUUAUUAUUGUUGUUAUUUUUGUUAUUUUUUUAUUAUUAUUCUUUAUAAAAAUAAUAAUGUAUUCAGAAAGUUUAAUGUCAAAUUUAUUGUGGUUUAUUGAUACUUUUUUCUUCUGGUAAUUAUUAAUGUUCUUGAAGAACAGCUUCAUCUAAGAAUAGUAAUAUAACAUUACUUAACUCAUCAUAGUGCUAUACAUUAUAUAUAAAAAACCUAAAAAUGUUACAUUUAAAAUAGGUCAAAUUUUUCUGAAAAACGAAAACAAAACAAAACAAAUUGCAUACUUUGAUACAUGAGACUUAAGUUUUAGAAUUAUAUUCACUAAAAAAAGAUGGAUUAAACAAUUUGAAUGCAAACACUGAUUUUGCAAAUUAUGUUAUAAGUUUUGAAAAACAUGUAUGAUCAAUGGUUGUGCGAACUUGCCAUGAUUUUGUUUCUCUUAAAAUAUUUUUAGCUUAAUAGGAAAAAUGUUAUUGAUCUUAAAUAAAACAUGCAUAACCAAAAACAUGCACAACUUUGUAUUAUUUUAUUCAUUCAUAUAAUACACACAUAAGAACAAAUCCAUACCAACAUAGAACUAUUUUAUGUCUUUUAUUAGUUUAUAUGUUUUUGAAAUUUUGUAUCAAUUUUGGAGAAUCAAUCUAAUUAGAGAAUUGUUUA